rnacentral:rRNA from 1 species
CAAAGUAUCUUCUGCCCACUGAUUAAAUUUGAAUGGCCGCAGUACCCUGACUGUGCUAAGGUAGCGUGAUUCUUGUUUUCUUAAUUAGAAAUCUGUUCAAAGAAUGAAAUGGAGAGAAUCUAUUGUUUCUAUAACAAGUGAAUUUAAAAUGUUAGUGAAAAUUCUGACAAGUCCUUAAAAGACGAGAAGACCCCAUAAAACUUAAUUUGAUCUCUUUCUUAAGAGUUUAAAAUUUAAAUGGGGACUUUAGAGUAUAAUAAUAACUCAAAGACCUAUAUUUAUAUUAUUAGCGAAGCUACUUUGGGGAUAACAGGGUAAAAUAUUAGAGAGUUCAUAUCGAUA